GGUGAUCCUUAUAAAUAGACACCACCCCGUUUUUCGUUCUCUUGUUCUCACUCAGUAGUCUGAGCAUGUCUCCGAGAUGAAGAGUACAAUGAGGAACAUUAGAUGCCACCAUGACCUAUUGGUGUCACUGUCCAAGCAGAUGGCACAUGAACGUAGCAGGAAGGCCUGCCUUUUCUCCCUGAAAUAAUAUAGUGAUAAAGGAUGGUCUGGUGGCGCAGCAGUGCUGACUUACUGGUUAGUGGGUCAUGAUGUGGCGCCACAAGCAAUGGAUGUGAAGCGAGCCAAUGCGAAAUUGGUAUACCGCUGGUUGGUGUCCUAGUGGCUGUGACCUGGAAGUAGCAGAAUGAUUGCCGCAUUUCCUCCCUGAAAAAAUGCUGUGCAGUGUGCACAUGACAACGAUAAAGGAUGGUCUGGAGGUGCAGCAGUGCUGACCUGCUAGUUAAAGUGGGUCUGACGUGAAGCCACAAGCCAUGUUUUCUCUCUUUGUCCUUCGGAUGUGAAGCUGCCAAUGAGAAAUUGGUAUAUUGGUGUCCUAGAAGAUGUAACCUGGAAGUAGCAGAAUGAUUGCCGCCUUUCCUCCCUGAAAGAAUGCUGUGCACAGAACGAGUCUGGCCGUGUGGGGUUGACAUGGAGCCACAGGUCAUUAUGGGGCAGGUGCUGAAGAACAACUGAAGAUUGUGGCCUGUUUCAGUUGAAGAUGAAAGGUGGCAGUAAUGGGUUGUGCCUUAGAAGAAAGCAGAUAGUGCAGUUGCCGGUCCUAGACUAGGGUGCAGUCUGAUUUUGUGUAUGCAGCUGCCACUAUUAUAGCCAUUAGAUGCCGUUAAUCACAGCGAGCUCAGUUUAAAGUUUGAAUCUGGUUAUCACACGAAAACCCUUCACUCGGUGUGACCUAGGUGAAAUUGGCUCAACAAAUACUAAUUAAACAAUGUACUUGCCCUGUUUAAUUUGAAUAAACUCAUGCUGAUCUCAGUG